rnacentral:lncRNA from 1 species
UAUGAAAUCUUUUUACUUUUUUGAUUGAGCAUUUUAUGCAUGUUAUUACUUAUAGUUAGUUCGAGAUUAUGAGCAUUUUUUUUAUGUGAAUGAAAUAGUUUUUUAUUAGAAAAAAUAAUAAUACUAUUUACUUAGUUGAGAUAUUUAGUUUUUACUUGAAAUAUAUUUAAAAUGAUGUGUUACUAUUUAAUUGGUUGAAGUGAUAGUUAAUUAUUUAAUCUUAUCAUUUCUAUCAAAUGGUUAAAUUCUAUUGGUGGCAAUUCAAGUAGAAUACAAACUCAAUAUCCAAGUAAGCAGGUAUAACAUCACUCUUAAGAAAUAAGCUUAGAGAUUGGUAAAUUAUGUUGUUUCAUUUGCUGUAAGUUUGAAAAGCAUAGUAUGUGUAUUUGACAAAUUUUAUUAUGAGAGUGUUGUUAUAUUAUAUAAUGACUGAAAUACACGUAAGUUUAAAUUACUUUAUAUUUAUAUAUCAAGAUUUAUGAAAAAAUAAGACAUAAUUGUCUUUUUAUUUAAAUGUUAAGAUUGUAACAUGAACUUUAAAAAGAUAUGGUGGCUUAUUCAAUAAGCAGGUUAUAAAAAGUAAUUUUCUUCUUACUUUUAAAAGUCAAAAUGGAGAAACUUAUGAAAUAAGUAGUUUUUAAAUAAUUUAUUAAAAUAUUUUUAUCAAAACUUAUGAAAUAAGUCAUUUAUAUCGUCUCAACCUUAAUCCUAUAUAGGGCCUCAAUAGGGAUUGAGUAGAUUUUUAAAGAUCUUUAAAAAUACACUACCUUAAUCUUGAAGUUUUAACUCCAUUCAAUUUAGUUAUAAAAAAUUGUAAGUAAAAGGUUCAAUAUUAUUUUUGCGCGGCGGGGAAACGGAGUAAAUGGUUCCAUAUAGUUUCAAGCUGACGUCAAAUGUAUCAAAUAAAGCAUACUCACAUCACAAAAAUUCUACUAAAAUAAAAAUUUGUUACUGAUAUAUAUAUUUUUUAAUUAGCAUAGGUUUUUAGAAUACGAUACAACAAAAUUUUUGAUGUUUUCGAAGACUGCUUUUAUUGAAUUUUGAAUUUAGUGCUAAGCUUAAUUGUUAAGUAUUUUAUGAUCUUGUGCUAUGUAUGCAUUUAUAAUAAAAAUAUGGUUAAGGUUUAAUUAUAUAGUUUUGAUUAUCCAAUAACUAUCAGUCACAAUAUUAUAAAAAGAAAAAAAUUAUUUCAACGCUCAAUCCAAAUCCGCUUUGUUAAUAAGCUUUUGGCACAUCAUAGUUUCUAAUACUUGAAAUUUAAUUUAGAAAUUAGGUGUAUAAUUGUAAUGUCCGUAGGCUAACACCAUAACAACAAAUAUUUAGAAGAUUUUACAGAAAUGCCACAAUUUUGGGGGCGAUUCAGAAAUGUAACUUAAAAUCUGGAUUAUGCUUAGAAAAGCGAAAAUAAUAUUUGAACAAAAGUUGAUCAAUUAGUGGGCCACAAACGGCUGCAAUGGGGCCAUUUAGUCGUCACAGUCCAAUUUUUUCGUUUACCCCAAAAUCGAAUGAGGAGUUGUGGCUCAUUUUACUCUAUUAAGAUCUACUGUUGUGAGAGUUAUGGCUCUCCCAUAACUCGAAGACGAGCAUGGUUGAUAGAAAACCAAUUAAGAAAGACAAGGUUAAACUUUUUUGUGAUUAAUAAUGGUAAAUGUUUUGAUGGUUGUGUUAGGCUAUAUAAUUAUGGAAAACGGUAAAUGUAGAGAAUUAUAGGAACUUUAUUGUAUAAAAUAAUGUGUUUAUAAUUUUGUAUGUGGAAAGAAAAUAAUAGCGUAUGUACCAUGAUUUAGAGGCACAAAAUUACGCCAAGUGUCCUGUACGUGCCAUAACUUAGAGACACCAAAUUACUCCAAGUGUCCUAAUAAAAAAGAAAAAAAGAAACUAUCUCGGAAAAUCAAAUAAGUAAAUAAAUUAUAUCCAAUUUAUUUAGGAGAAAGUAACACUGGAACAAAAUUCUCCUGGGACUUGCGAUAAUAACUAAGAGUAAAAAAUCAUUCUAAUUUUGGGAUUCCGGGGUUUGAGGGAACCACGCCGAAGAUCAUAGGAGUAGGGAAGCACAUGGGCACAGAAUAAAUGACGUAGGUUCGAAAUAAAUAUAUUUAUUUCCCUAAGAACAAGUUCACGUCCACGUGUGCAAUAAUAGUUGGUGGCACGUGUCAUCAAGGAGAGAGACCAAGGUAAAACCCUAGACCAUAUCAUCUAUCAACUAUAAAUAUGGACCAUCUCACCAAGAAAAGGAGAUCCCUCCUAAGCAAAAAAAAAAAAACCCUAAUCUUGUUUAUUGUUCUUGCUUCCAUUAGACCUUAAAAUCAAACAUUGACUUGGGCGUCAGAGUGCCUUUUUCAAGUACCCACCACGCUGGAUUCAAGUUCAACGCGUGUCACAAGUUCUCCACAAAUUAAAAGUACGUGUGAAGGUAAAUUCUUGUUGCCUUCAUUGGCGCCGUCUAUGGGGAAACUUGGCUGGAAAAAUUUUUCUCUCACUAAAACCCAGAUGAACACCACUUAUCAUCAUCUUUUUAGAUCAGAUCUGGUUGGAUAUAAUUGAAAAAAGAGGAAAAUACUCACACAUAUUUAUGAAAAAUUGUUUAUGUGUGAGAUUUGAACCUCAAACAUGCUAAAAAAUACUCACAAAUGGAGGUUAUUCCUUCAAAUACUUUGCUGAAAAAAAAGAGAAAGAAUAAAGAAGAUAGAGACCCAUUAUUAUUUAUUUUACCUUAUUUUCCUUUUAUUUUUUUUAUUCCACACAACUAUGAUGAUUUAAUUACCUUCCUGCCAUUUCAACUCCUCCAUAGUACUUCACUAUUUUUUUUUCCCAUGAGUGAGACUAAGAAAAACCCCAAGCAUUCACCUUAUCCGGUGGAAUAUAUGCAGGGUGUUAGGCGUUGAGUGUUAGAAAAUGUAUAUUUAUAAAGGAAAAAAUCAUCAUUUACAUUUCAAGUCUUACUAAUAUUCUUACUUUUGUGUAUUUAAGCUUCUUGUGAUUUAAUUAUAUGUGUUUUAUUUUAAUUAAGUAUUUUAUGUAUUUUAGGGGCAUCAUGGUCAUUUCACAAUGAAUGAGAGUUUAGACGGCAAAACAGACAUCACUUUUGAAUUCAGGAUAGUCGAAAACCUUAGAAGGAGUAUAAAAGGAAAAAUGGCACUGUUCACAUGUACGGUACUGUCUACGUUACUAUUCACGACACUGUUCACAUAGACGGAUCGAUGACGUGUCAUUGACCGAUGAUGUGGCAUUGACUGAUGAAGUGUCACGAUCCUGUUGGACUAAAAUUCUUAUGUACUGUUGAUUGAUGACGUGGCAGCAUGUUAGUGGACCAAAAAUCGCGCGUACGGUACUUGCAUAUACACAUGAUUAUUUUCAACCAAACUGCGUCACUGUUCAAACUGUGUCACUAUUCAAACUACGUGGUCAAACCGCGCAUUGUUGACUGAUGACGCGGCGCAAUCCUGAGCGUCCGAAAUAUUUUUAAUCCGAUGACCAUGAUUUACUCUAUAUAUCUAUAAAAGGGGGGCUCUCCCCCCCUAAUUUGGCAUCUCUGAAUCCAUUUUUGAGCUCCAUUUUCUAUAAUUCCUUCUCCAUCUUGUAUUUUCUACGUAUUUUAAUAAAUUUCCAUUUUACCCCUAUUUCAAUUAUGAGUAGCUAAUUUUCUUUCAAGCUUGGGUUGAAGGCGAAGUCUCAACAUGUGCCAUGGGCUUUAUUUGGUAAAUUUAUUUUCUCUUCCCUUCUAAUUAUUGUGGAUGUUUUGACUUUUCGUUGAUAAAUAGUAAUAAUCUUGUCUAGAUACCGCCUUGGUUUCACCGGCUCCCUAGUAUAAUAAGGUUAUUAUUAUUCGGCACGAUAAGCCCUUAGCACCAUAUUGAUUAGAGUGUGGUUCAUGAGGUGUGGAUUCUCCCCUCAUGAUUUAAUUGGCACUAAUAAAUAAUAUUUAGCCCAUUAUGCAUGUUGAUGUGGAUCUAGGUACCCAAGCGUUUCAAUUAUAAUAGUUUCCACUUUAAUUUAAUUCCGUCAUUCCAAUUUAAAUUUUAAGAUAGUUCAAAUCACUUUUACCACAAAUCCAUCCACCCAUUUAGAAAAUUAAUUCUACACAUAAUUAAAAUCUACCUCCUUGUGGGAUCGGCACUCGUCACCAUUGAUCUAUUGUACAAUAGAUUCGUGCACUUACGAGUUCAAUAAAAUUUGCACAAUAAGUUUUUGGCUCCGUUACCGGGGAGGUAAGUUAUUUUAAUUUGUAGAAUUAAUUUUUAUAAAAAA